rnacentral:rRNA from 1 species
GAUGAACGCUGGCGGCGUGCCUAAUACAUGCAAGUCGAGCGAACAGAUAAGGAGCUUGCUCCUUUGACGUUAGCGGCGGACGGGUGAGUAACACGUGGGUAACCUACCUAUAAGACUGGGAUAACUCCGAGAAACCGGGGCUAAUGCCGGAUAACAUUUAGAACCGCAUGGUUCUAAAGUGAAAGAUGGUUUUGCUAUCACUUAUAGAUGGACCCGCGCCGUAUUAGCUAGUUGGUAAGGUAACGGCUUACCAAGGCAACGAUACGUAGCCGACCUGAGAGUGUGAUCGGCCACACUGGAACUGAGACACGGUCCAGACUCCUACGGGAGGCAGCAGUAGGGAAUCUUCCGCAAUGGGCGAAAGCCUGACGGAGCAACGCCGCGUGAGUGAUGAAGGUCUUCGGAUCGUAAAACUCUGUUAUUAGGGAAGAACAAAUGUGUAAGUAACUGUGCACGUCUUGACGGUACCUAAUCAGAAAGCCACGGUUAACUACGUG